UAAAAGUCCUGCCUUGGAAAGGGAAGCGCCU
rnacentral:piRNA from 1 species